GAUGAACGCUGGCGGCGUGCCUAAUACAUGCAAGUCGAGCGAACAGACGAGGAGCUUGCUCCUCUGACGUUAGCGGCGGACGUGUGAGUAACACGUGGAUAACCUACCUAUAAGACUGGGAUAACUUCGGGAAACCGGAGCUAAUACCGUAUAAUAUAUUGAACUUCAUGGUUCAAUAGUGAAAGACGGUUUUGCUGUCUCUUAUAGAUGGAUCCGCGCCGCAUUAUCUAGUUGGUAAGGUAACGGCUUACCAAGGCGACGAUGCGUAGCCGACCUGAGAGGGUGAUCGGCCACACUGGAACUGAGACACGGUCCAGACUCCUACGGGAGGCAGCAGUAGGGAAUCUUCCGCAAUGGGCGAAAGCCUGACGGAGCAACGCCGCGUGAGUGAUGAAGGUCUUCGGAUCGUAAACCUCUGUUAUUAGGGAAGAACAAAUGUGUAAGUAACUAUGCACGUCUUGACGGUACCUAAUCAGAAAGCCACGGCUAACUACGUG
rnacentral:rRNA from 1 species